rnacentral:tRNA from 1 species
GCCUCUUUAGCUCAGUCGGUAGAGCAGUUCACUCGUAAUGAACAGGUCGGGGGUUCAAGUCCCCCAGGAGGCU